CCUACGGGGGGCAGCAGUGAGGAAUAUUGGUCAAUGGUCGGGAGACUGAACCAGCCAAGCCGCGUGAGGGAGGAAGGUACAGAGUAUCGUAAACCUCUUUUGUCAGGGAACAAAGACUGGGACGCGUCCCCGGAUGAGUGUACCUGAAGAAAAAGCAUCGGCUAACUCCGUGCCAGCAGCCGCGGUAAUACGGAGGAUGCGAGCGUUAUCCGGAUUUAUUGGGUUUAAAGGGUGCGCAGGCGGUCUGUUAAGUCAGCGGUCAAAGCCCGGGGCUCAACCCCGGCCCGCCGUUGAAACUGGCAGUCUCGAGUUGGAGAGAAGUAUGCGGAAUGCGCGGUGUAGCGGUGAAAUGCAUAGAUAUCACGCAGAACUCCGAUUGCGAAGGCAGCAUACCGGCGCGCAACUGACGCUGAGGCUCGAAAGCGUGGGUAGCAAACAGGAUUAGAUACCCUGGUAGUC
rnacentral:rRNA from 1 species